CCUACGGGAGGCAGCAGUGAGGAAUAUUGGUCAAUGGCCGGAAGGCUGAACCAGCCAUGCCGCGUGAAGGUCAGUGCCCUAUGGGCGUUAAACUUCUUUUGUGCGGGAGCAAUAAUGGUCACGUGUGGCCAGACGAGAGUACCGUACGCAUAAGCAUCGGCCAAAUCCGUGCCAGCAGCCGCGGUAAUACGGGGGAUGCAAGCGUUAUCCGGAUUUAUUGGGUUUAAGGGGUUCGUAGGCUGUGAGGGAAGUCAGCGGUGAAAUGCCCCCGCUCAACGGGGUGAAGUGCCAUUGAUACUGCCAUGCUGGAAUGCGGAUGCCGUGGGAGGAAUGUGUGGUGUAGCGGUGAAAUGCAUAGAUAUCACACAGAACACCGAUUGCGAAGGCAUCUCACGAAUCCGCGAUUGACGCUGAUGCACGAAAGCGUGGGUAUCAAACAGGAUUAGAUACCCGUGUAGUC
rnacentral:rRNA from 1 species